AAGGAAAUCACCCUCAUUAAGUGUUCCAUUUAUAUUGCCAAAUGCACUUUCUGUUAGUAGAUAAUCUAUAAAUCAGUUCAUUUAAUCUGCAUAAUUUGUGGAAUAUAUAUCCUUUAUGUUUUAACAUAAUUUCGUGGGAUAGUAACUUUUUGUUUGUAGGUGAAUGAGUUUUUGUUAUGUAAUGUGUAUUAUGAAGGUUUAUCUCUUUGUAUGUUUGU
rnacentral:lncRNA from 1 species